rnacentral:misc_RNA from 1 species
GCCGGCUCCGAUAUGGCGUAAAUCGCAAGGCGCUAAUGUGGAUUCGCCCGUGUAUGUCGAUGCACGCAGCAUAUCGAACGUAAGGAGGACAUUGCCAUAUGAGCACUCGGGUUGGGAUCAACGGCUUCGGUAGAAUCGGGCGGCUGGCGCUGCGCGCGGCCUGGGGCUGGCCGGAUAUCAGCUUUGC